AACUCUGCACAGUGGCAGUAUUGUAACCAAUGAGGUUUGUCCAAGGUGCAAUUAUUGCUAAUUGAAAAAAAUGAGGAUAGGUUAAGGGAUGUCUUGGACAAUAUAGUGAGUAAAUAUUCAUAUUAUGGAGAUCCUAGAAGGA